rnacentral:rRNA from 1 species
UACAGAGGUCUCAAGCGUUGUUCGGAUUCAUUGGGCGUGAAGGGCGCGUAGGCUGCGGGGCAAGUCGGGUGUGAAAUCUCAGAGCUCAACUCUGAAACUGCACUCGAUACUGCUUUGCUUGAGGACUGGAGAGGAGAUUGGAAUUCACGGUGUAGCAGUGAAAUGCGUAGAUAUCGUGAGGAAGACCAGUGGCGAAGGCGGAUCUCUGGACAGUUCCUGACGCUGAGGCGCGAAGGCCAGGGGAGCAAACGGG